CCUACAGUCCCUAUCUUGUACGUAACCCGGGGACUGCCUGUAGUUCCUGAACAAAAUGUUGUUCCAUUCUUUUUGGUUAUCGACCAGAAUUUCACUGAUCCUGGAUCCAUUUAGACAACUUACAUUCUCAGGACUCACACUGAGAAAAGUUGGCAUGCUUAGAAACCUGAUACAAAUUGAAUUUCCUAUUCUGCCCCAGCUGUGUAAAUUCUUUAAAGCCAGAGAUGUUUAGAAUUUCAGUGAACCACAACAACAUAUGAGCGAUCAAAGGUUGAACAGCCACCAGGCCGGAAUCCUUGCAGGCCCAGUGGGAAAGGACUAUUCAAGACAUGACUGGACUGAGGAUAGAGAGGCAGAGCUUCAGACAAUUCCUCAGAUUCAUCACCCACCAAGGACGGUGCAGAUUCGGGAAUCUCCCCAACGUCCUCAGCCGUGAAGACUGAAGCAAAGAAAUCAUUAGGUAUCAUUAAACUCUUUAUUUCUCCCUUACCCCCCCACUCUUCCUUCUCCCCAAAAAUAUACCAGAAGUAGAAACAUCCAGGACAAUUCCUUUUAAGACAUUCUAUGUACAUUAACAGUAGUAAAUAACAGGUAAUUUUUAAAUUUAGUGGUUCAAUAGAAAAAUGACUCAUUACAGCGCACUGACUUCAUCAAGUACCGCAGAUGACAAUCUGAACACUGAAAAUAUCCAACAUGUUUUA